GCUGCUUCUGAGAUCUAUGUUGACACGGUGACUAAUGAAGAACUGAAAUCAGGGUUGGAUCUUCCUUCGCAUCUUCUGAACUGGAGUGCGAGCUUGUUGGAGAGAUUAAAAUCAUUACAAAAGUCUGGAGGUCAUGAAUGGACAUCUAAGUACAUCUUGGAGACUCAGGUUAGACUUUCAGAUUUGAUGUCACUGAUGCCCUAUAAGACAUCG
rnacentral:misc_RNA from 1 species